rnacentral:lncRNA from 1 species
CGGGGGUCACCGGGGUGGGUCCUAUGGGCACCUGGGAUUGUCAGCGGAGUGUGUCAUCCUCGGACCUGUUGGACCCUUGGAUUUCACCGCGGUGGGUCCUCCGGGGCACUGCAGGGCCCUGUGGUAUCACUGGAGUGGGUCCUCCGGGGACCUGGUGGGUCUUGUGUUGUCACCGGGGUGGGUCCUCCGGGGACCUGUGGGACCCUUGGGUGUUACCGUGGUGGCAUCUCCGGGGCCCCCGGGGAGCCCUGUGGUGUCACCGGGUGGGUCCUCUGGGGACCUGGGGGACCUGGGGAGAUCACCGGGGUGGGUCCUCCGGGGACCUGGGGGGCCCGGGCGGGUUACUGGGGUGGGUCCUCCGGGAACCUGGUUGGCCUGGGGGAGUCAACGGAGUGGGAGCUCCGGGGAACUGUGGGACCUUUGGGUGUCACCGGGGUGCGUCCUCCGGGGACCGCGGGUGACCAGGGUUUUCAACGGAGUGGGUGCUCCGGAGACGUGUGGGACCCUUGGGUGUCACCGGGGUUGGUGCUCCGGAGACCUCGAUCUUUUCACGGGGGCGGUUCCUAUGGGGCGCCCGGGGGCCCGCCGGGGGUCACAGGGGUGGGUACUUUGGGCCACCCAGGGGCACACUGUGUGUCACCGGGGUGGGUGCUAUGGGAUGCCACGGGGCCCGCCACGGGUCACAAGGGGUGGCUCAUCCGGAGCUCCCAGGGCCCACCGGGGGUCACCGGGGUGGGUCCGAUGUGGCGCCAGGGGCCCGCUGGGGGUCACCGGGGUGGGUGCUCGGGGGGGCCCAAGGGGCCCGCCGCUGGUCACAGGGGUGGGUCCUAUGGGGAGCUAGGGGGCCUGCUGGGGGUCAGCGGGGUGGGUCCUAUGGGGCGCCCGGGGGCCCGCCAGGGGUCACUGGGGUGGGUGCUCUGGGGUGCCAGGGGGCCCAGCGGGGCUCACCGGGGUGGGUCUUAUGGUGCGGCCAGGGGCCUGCCGGGGGUCACCGGGGUGGGUCCUAUGGGGCGCCUGGUGGCCCUUCGGGGCUCACCGGGGUGGGUGCUUAGGAGAACCCGGGGUCCUGCCAGGGGUAACGGGGGGGGUGCUCCGGGGAGCAACGAGCAGUUCGCGCUUCUGCAAAUUCGAUUAAGCCUUUGA